AGAGUUUGAUUCUGGCUCAGAUUGAACGCUGGCGGCAUGCCUUACACAUGCAAGUCGAACGGCAGCAUAGGAGCUUGCUCCUGAUGGCGAGUGGCGAACGGGUGAGUAAUAUAUCGGAACGUGCCCUAGAGUGGGGGAUAACUAGUCGAAAGACUAGCUAAUACCGCAUACGAUCUACGGAUGAAAGUGGGGGAUCGCAAGACCUCAUGCUCCUGGAGCGGCCGAUAUCUGAUUAGCUAGUUGGUGGGGUAAAAGCCUACCAAGGCAACGAUCAGUAGCUGGUCUGAGAGGACGACCAGCCACACUGGGACUGAGACACGGCCCAGACUCCUACGGGAGGCAGCAGUGGGGAAUUUUGGACAAUGGGGGCAACCCUGAUCCAGCAAUGCCGCGCGAGUGAAGAAGGCCUUCGGGUUGUAAAGCUCUUUUGUCAGGGAAGAAACGGUAGUAGCGAAUAACUAUUACUAAUGACGGUACCUGAAGAAUAAGCACCGGCUAACUACGUGCCAGCAGCCGCGGUAAUAAGGGCG
rnacentral:rRNA from 1 species